UGCAGUUUUUGUUGUUUGGUUGGUUAGUUUUUGUUUGUUUUAUUUAUGUGUUUGAGUUUAUUAUUCAUCUUAGUCCAUGCACAUGGACAAACUUGUUACUGUGGAACCUACUGUUCAUACUGUUUUUUAAUAAUAUGUUUGUGCUAUAAUUUACACUGUAUAAUGUGAUCAGAAAGAAAAACAAACCCCAGUGCUUUCCUCUCCCAGGUGAGUGCUCAAUGCACUGUGAUUCAAUUCCAACUGCUUUUCAUUUAUUCUUGUUCUGGUUUCAGCUGAGACAGUGUUAAUAGCACACUGAUGUUUCGAUUGUUUCUAAGUGAUGGGCAGGAGAUGACACAUGGCAUUACCAGCAAGGCAUCAGUCAGUGAGCGCCUGUACUACUGGAUGGGCAUUGGUUGACAAGUGGUUUGUUGUGCUCUAUUCUGUGUCAUGAAUUUGCAUUGUUACAGAGUGAUAUGUUAAGCCAUCCUAAGGAGAGGAGAAAAGACCAAGAGAAACACCAAUGUCUGCAAAGUAAAAUUUCUUUAUUAAAAUAACAGUGAGCCACAAAUUUCUGGCAGUAAUUGGAGAUAUUUGACAGUGGAGCCUGAGAGGGAGAGCUUCAGGCAUUUGGUAACAGCCCAGAGAAGAGAGCAUUUUAAAAAAGAAGUGCUGAAGCAAGCUAUUACUGAAUGUCUGGGUUUCUGUUUGCCCAAAUUCUCAUUACUUAUUAGGAGGUGAGAAGCUUGAGGAGAACUGAGAGAGGUUGUCCUUAAGAAGACAGGAGCCUGAAUUUAUUUUUAAGACUAACCAGCUAAACAGCCUACUUUUAAAUUUAAAAAGCAAAUUUUUAGGUGUUAUUAAGCUUAUCUCUGCCAUACCUUUGACAAAUUUGUCUGAUGGUAAUGCCCCAAAGAACAUCAAAUACAGAAGCUCACAAAAGUUGAAAUACACCUGGAAUUAAUAUUCUAACUCAGAUUCAGAUUGAAUUUGUCUUCAACACCUAAAUACCCAAAAUAUAAUUCAUCUUGCUUCCUGUAAGUGUACUGGCAAUAAAAAUCAUAUCAGUGCUUCAUAUGCUAUCCUGUAAACACCAUAAGAAACCUGCUUUGUUCUUCUAAAAAGAAUUUCAAAGAAAUUGUGACUCACAGAAAAUAUCAACUUUACAGUCUUUUUACAAAACUGAAAUUUAAACGCAGCUCAAGCCUGUUGACUUAUCUAUGUCUUUACACCACUGCACAUUCCACUAAAAUUAAUGAGAUUAAAUGUUGUGUGUAUAGUUAAGAGCAUGUUAAAAUCUUCGUUACGUCAAAGACGUGUUCAUUUAUUUAUUUAUUUAUUUUAGACUACUCUGUCACUUUUUUGAAAGAAGAGGUUUUAAACAGGGGGUUGUGGGGUUUUUUGUUGUUGUUGUUAUUUGUUUGUUUUUCUUUUGUACACAGAUUUAAAGCAGAUGUAUCACACAAUGGUUUAGGUUGGAAGGAACCACUGCAGAACAUGUGAUCCAGUCCCUGCCCCAGCAGAAUGCCCAGGGCCAUGUCCAGGUGACUCUGAGAGAUCCCCAAGGAGGAGGCUCCACAGUCUCUGGGGCAGCCUAUGUCAGUGCUUUGUCACUGCACAGCACCAAAGUACUUCUGGUGUUCAGAGGGAAUGUUCCAUUCUCCACUUUGUGCCAGUUGCCUCUGAUCCUGCCAAUGGACACCACUGACAGGAGCCUGGCUCCAUCCUUCAUGUACACUGAUAAGAUCCACCCCUGGAAAAAACAGACUAAAUAGUUCCAACCCUCUCAGUCUCUUCUAUAGAAGAGAUGCUCCAGCCUCUUGAUCAUUUUGGUGGCAAAAAUGGAUCUGUUGGAUCUGCUUCAUUAUAUCCAUGUAUCCCUUGUGCUGGGGGGCCCAGAAGUGUACAUAUUAUUCCAAUUGUGUUCUCACCAGCGCUGAGUGGAGGUAAGGAUCACCUACCUCCACCUGCUGACAGUGCUUUGCCUCAUUCAGCCCAGGUUACUGUUGGUUCCUUUACCACAGGGGCACACUGCUGACUUUUACUCAACUUGGUGCCUACCAAGACCCCCAGGUCUUCUACUGCAAAGCCAUUUUCCAACCAAGGGUGCCCCAGCAUAGCUAUGUUUUCACACUAGAUUUCUUCCUCCCCAGGUACAAGACUUUGCAUUUCUCCUCGUUGACCUUCUUGAGGCUUCUGCCAUCCCAUCUCUCCAGCCAGUUGAGGUCUGUCUGGAUGGCAAUAUGGCCCUCUGGUGAGUCAGCCACUCUCCCCAAUUUUGGAUCAUCUGAAAAUGUACUGAGGGUGCACUCUACCCUAUUGUCUAGGUCAUUGAAGGAAAUCAAUGGUAAUGAUCCUGUAUAAUACAGGAUUGGAUCCAUUGUUGAUCCCCGGGGAACAGCACUCAUUACUGACCUUCAGUUUAACUUUGAACCUGUGACCAUCACUCUCUGGGCCUGGCAGUUCACCCAGCUUUUGAUCCACUUUGUCUGAUUAUCAAGUCCUUUCAUCAACAGCUUCUCGAUGAAGGUAUUAUGGGAGACAGUCUCAAAGACCUAAGCCUGGAAAGAAUCUAGUAAAGGCUGAGUCAAAGAAGGCAUUCAGUACUUUUUCAUUGUUAUCAGAAACCAGAUCUACCAUUUCCUCCAGCAGAGGCCCAACGUUGGGAAAUACAGGGCAGCAAUCACAGCUAUACUGUGGCAUGGUUGGUGCCCUGGCUGAUUACACCUGGGACAGUCAGGAGAGGAGAUGGUUCUUCUCCUCCUUUUCUCUCACCUUUGUUAGAGCACAACUUGGGACAUGGCCAAGCAGUGAGUGCCUGCUGGUCACACUUCCUUUCCACAAGCUUCCAGCCAUGCUGGUCUUCAUCUUGCUUGUAGUGGGUGAGGAUUCCUGCAAAUAGCACAGUUUCCCACUGGUGAAUCAGUGCUCUGCCAGAACAUCACAAGCUCUUUACUUUUUUCCCUCCUGUAUGUUGGUUUUCCUACACUGUGUGAUAUGUAUCUGCUCAUAUUUAACUCCUCUGCUUCUGCAUGGGAGAUCUGCUCACAGAUAGAAGGGAUAAAGAACUGUUAAUGCCAGAAUCCUUUAUACUCUGCAUAUGCUUUUUGGUUGGUUGGUGGUUUUGUUGCUUUUAUUUGUUUUGUUUUGUUUUGUUGGCCAUUGUUUUUGU